UGGAAGUGCAAGGAAGUCAAGUGAUGCCCUCAUUAUCAUACAGCCAGUAAGAGCAGAGCUUGCCAGGCACGUAGGCUUGCCUGAUUCCAAACACCAGAGCAGCAAAUAAGACUUGUCCUCCCAACCAUACCUUCUCCAGCCCACCAUGAGGAUUUUCACAUCCUGAGCUUUUGCCAACAUAGUUUCCUGUGCUUAGAGUUUAUCUGCCAGCUCAGAUGUCACCUCCUCUAAGAAGCCUCCCAUUUCCACUCUCCUGCUAACAGUUGGAGUGGAGCACAUGAGUCUUUGACUGAAGCAGAUUAGUACAGCAGUCAUUACUAAGGAAAAUGAAACAAUCUCUAGGCCACAGGAAAUCGCACAAGAUUAGAAAAUCCCUGUGGUAUGAGAGAAAAAACUUCAAGUGGAUUUCUGAGUCCCAUAAAUGACGUAAAGAAUAGCAGAUGUUCAAAGAC
rnacentral:lncRNA from 1 species